UUUUUAUUAUCAGAAAUUUUUAUCAAUAAAAAUAAAAACUAGAAAAUUGAAAUUGAAAUUUGAAAUCGAAUAAUAUUCAAUAUUCAUCUUCAUUAAAUCCCCGAGCUUGAUACAAAAUCCAUUUCAGAGCGAUGUAUCAUCAUCGAGUCAAGUAUAGAGAUACCGAAACCAAGAUCACCUGAGAGCUGAAAAAUGUUCCAGUAUCAACUCGAAAGUAUCGAGAUGGAGACUGGAGUUCAAAUAAUCCCAGAGCUAAACAGCUAAAGCCUCGAAACAAAAAUAUAACGAGUUCUGCAUCGAACAUCUCCUAAGAAUUCCUUCCAAAGCUGCCGAAGAAUCGUUCUAAAAUAUGAAACCGAAUACCGCUUUGCAGAUCGAAUUGGCAACUCGAAGACGUAUUUUUGCACCUCACAUGAUGUAAUUAUCUGUUGGACGAUUUAAUCCCAAGGUACUCCGGUUGAAGUCUGAAGAAUUUCCUCAUCUUCCAAAUCUAUCACUGAAAAAAAAAAAACCCUUGAUUUCCAAUUAGAAACGAUAUCGAAUGACGAACAUGAUAGAUCGCUAAAGGAAUAGUAAAUGCAGUAGCCAACAGCACAAACCGGUACCUAAGAAUGGAACGUGGAUAAGGAUUAAUUUAAUAUGUAUCAUUAUUGGAGCAUUGAGUUUAAUUUCGUAUGAAUUUUGUUCAUCACGACGUAAUUCUUUCGAUGAAAGUUGAUGUGCCAUCGUGAAGAGAUGCUACUUCGAAUAACGUUUCCAACGACUAGGGUACUUGAGCACUACUGAACAGUGAACACUGCUCGUGUCUAGAUGGGACCAGAUAGGUGCAGAAAAAAGUAUCAAUCUAAGAUCUGUUCGAAAAAGGAUUUUUUAAAACAGUUUUACAAAUGUAAUUUUUGAUCGAUUCACUUUUAGCACAUCUCAUGGGGAACUUCCGCAUGAUUAAGAAUGUUGACAGGGAUUUUAUGACUUGAUCAAAAUCUAGGACAUAUUAUUAUUAUUUUUUUAAUGAGCUGGAUGUCCAAUUUUUUUAAAGCUUUCCUCUCUUUUCCUAGGGUUCAUCUCUAUUUCCAAAAGAAAUUGCUAUCUUUGUACGUACUUAUAUGACCCACGAUGAAAUAAUUUUUAAAAUAAAAUCUGUACAUUGAAA